GAUGAACGCUGGCGGCGUGCCUAAUACAUGCAAGUCGAGCGAACAGACGAGGAGCUUGCUCCUCUGACGUUAGCGGCGGACGGGUGAGUAACACGUGGAUAACCUACCUAUAAGACUGGGAUAACUUCGGGAAACCGGCGCUAAUCCCGGAUGAUAUAUUGAACCGCAGGGUUCAAUAGUGAAAUACGGUUUUGCUGUCACUUAUAGAUGGAUCCCCGCCGCAUUAGCUAGUUGUGAAGGUAACGGCCUACCAAGGCAACGAUGCGUAGCCGACCGGAGAGGGGGAUCGGCGACACUGGAACGGAGACACGGUCCAGACUCCUACGGGAGGCAGCAGUAGGGAAUCUUCGGCAAUGGGCGAAAGCCUGACGGAGCAACGCCGCGUGAGUGAUGACGGUCUUCGGAUCGUAAAACUCUGUUAUUAGGGAAGAACAAAUGUGUAAGUAACUAUGCACGUCUUGACGGUACCUAAUCAGAAAGCAACGGCUAACUACGUG
rnacentral:rRNA from 1 species